rnacentral:snoRNA from 1 species
GGUUUGAAAGAAUGAGCGCAUCUUGUCUUUAGGAGAUGUGAUUACACAAAAAGCAUGUUCAAUAGAAUUACACUGGGGCCC